rnacentral:lncRNA from 1 species
AUGGGGUUCAGCUGACUCUUGACUCUCCUGCGGAGAGAGAGGGCACCAGGGUGCUCGAGGUGUCCGCUCCCCAGCCUGGGCCAACUACUCGCUUUGUUUCUCACUCAGAGCCACCCUGGCCAUUUCAGAUGCAGCCAGCCUAGGGGCUUAGCCCAGAGGCAGCUGUGGGGCGUGGGCCUGGCAGCAGGCAGGCUGGCCAGUGGGCGGGCAGACAGGCAGCAGGAGAACACUCGAGAAUUAACCUCGACCAGGACUAGGCGUCCCCUCAGAGGACGCAAGGAUCACGGACAUCUCCUCUCCUGCCUUUUGAAGAUUUAGACAUGGCUCGAGAGCACAAGCCCGGCCCUGCCCAGCCAAGCCAGAAGAGGCAGCGGGGCAUAGCCAUCUCCUGCCCAGGUGGUCUGCCACAGAUCCCUGCGCUUUGACCGGAUGCUGCCAAGUUCUUGGACCAGUCGCGGGAGCGAGGAUGGAGAUCCAGACGAGCAAGGCUUUUCCCCCGAGUGGUCGUGUUCAGCUGAGGCUCGUCACCUUGAGUCUGUCCUA